UACAGAGGGGGCAAGCGUUGUUCGGAAUUACUGGGCGUAAAGGGCGCGUAGGCGGCAAUUCAAGUCAUCUGUGAAAUCUCCGGGCUUAACCCGGAACGGUCAGGUGAUACUGUUUUGCUAGAGUGCGGAAGGGGCAAUCGGAAUUCUCGGUGUAGCGGUGAAAUGCGUAGAUAUCGAGAGGAACACCAGAGGUGAAGACGGGUUGCUGGGCCGACACUGACGCUGACAGCGCGAAAGCCAGGGGAGCAAACGGG
rnacentral:rRNA from 1 species